rnacentral:rRNA from 1 species
GAUGAACGCUGGCGGCGUGCCUAAUACAUGCAAGUCGAGCGAACGGACGAGAAGCUUGCUUCUCUGAUGUUAGCGGCGGACGGGUGAGUAACACGUGGAUAACCUACCUAUAAGACUGGGAUAACUUCGGGAAACCGGAGCUAAUACCGGAUAAUAUUUUGAACCGCAUGGUUCAAAAGUGAAAGACGGUCUUGCUGUCACUUAUAGAUGGAUCCGCGCUGCAUUAGCUAGUUGGUAAGGUAACGGCUUACCAAGGCAACGAUGCAUAGCCGACCUGAGAGGGUGAUCGGCCACACUGGAACUGAGACACGGUCCAGACUCCUACGGGAGGCAGCAGUAGGGAAUCUUCCGCAAUGGGCGAAAGCCUGACGGAGCAACGCCGCGUGAGUGAUGAAGGUCUUCGGAUCGUAAAACUCUGUUAUUAGGGAAGAACAUAUGUGUAAGUAACUGUGCACAUCUUGACGGUACCUAAUCAGAAAGCCACGGCUAACUACGUGCCAGCAGCCGCGGUAAUACGUAGGUGGCAAGCGUUAUCCGGAAUUAUUGGGCGUAAAGCGCGCGUAGGCGGUUUUUUAAGUCUGAUGUGAAAGCCCACGGCUCAACCGUGGAGGGUCAUUGGAAACUGGAAAACUUGAGUGCAGAAGAGGAAAGUGGAAUUCCAUGUGUAGCGGUGAAAUGCGCAGAGAUAUGGAGGAACACCAGUGGCGAAGGCGACUUUCUGGUCUGUAACUGACGCUGAUGUGCGAAAGCGUGGGGAUCAAACAGGAUUAGAUACCCUGGUAGUCCACGCCGUAAACGAUGAGUGCUAAGUGUUAGGGGGUUUCCGCCCCUUAGUGCUGCAGCUAACGCAUUAAGCACUCCGCCUGGGGAGUACGACCGCAAGGUUGAAACUCAAAGGAAUUGACGGGGACCCGCACAAGCGGUGGAGCAUGUGGUUUAAUUCGAAGCAACGCGAAGAACCUUACCAAAUCUUGACAUCCUUUGACAACUCUAGAGAUAGAGCCUUCCCCUUCGGGGGACAAAGUGACAGGUGGUGCAUGGUUGUCGUCAGCUCGUGUCGUGAGAUGUUGGGUUAAGUCCCGCAACGAGCGCAACCCUUAAGCUUAGUUGCCAUCAUUAAGUUGGGCACUCUAAGUUGACUGCCGGUGACAAACCGGAGGAAGGUGGGGAUGACGUCAAAUCAUCAUGCCCCUUAUGAUUUGGGCUACACACGUGCUACAAUGGACAAUACAAAGGGUAGCGAAACCGCGAGGUCAAGCAAAUCCCAUAAAGUUGUUCUCAGUUCGGAUUGUAGUCUGCAACUCGACUACAUGAAGCUGGAAUCGCUAGUAAUCGUAGAUCAGCAUGAUACGGUGAAUACGUUCCCGGGUCU